UUAGUACUCCCUCCGUCCGGAAAUACUUGUCUUAGGAAUGCUUGUAUCUAGACUUAUUUUAGUUAUAGAUACAUCCAUUUUAUUCAUUUCCAGGACAAGGACGGAGGGAGUAUUAC
rnacentral:pre_miRNA from 1 species